rnacentral:rRNA from 1 species
AUUGAACGCUGGCGGAAUGCUUUACACAUGCAAGUCGAACGGCAGCACGGACUUCGGUCUGGUGGCGAGUGGCGAACGGGUGAGUAAUGUAUCGGCACGUGCCCCGUCGUGGGGGAUAACGUAGUGAAAAUUACGCUAAUACCGCAUACGAUCUAUGGAUGAAAGCGGGGGAUCGCAAGACCUCGCGCUAUUGGAGCGGCCGAUAUCAGAUUAGGUAGUUGGUGGGGUAAAGGCCCACCAAGCCAACGAUCUGUAGCUGGUCUGAGAGGACGACCAGCCACACUGGAACUGAGACACGGUCCAGACUCCUACGGGAGGCAGCAGUGGGGAAUUUUGGACAAUGGGCGAAAGCCUGAUCCAGCCAUUCCGCGUGCAGGAUGAAGGCCCUCGGGUUGUAAACUGCUUUUGUACAGAACGAAAAGGUUUCUACUAAUACUAGGAACUCAUGACGGUACUGUAAGAAUAAGCACCGGCUAACUACGUGCCAGCCGCCGCAGUAA